ACAAUGCCGCGUAAGGGAUAGUAGUGGAAAUCCUUUUUGAGAGGAACGAACAAAAAGAUUGUAACGAAUAGCCCGACCCGCU
rfam:Flavobacterium psychrophilum JIP02/86 complete genome